rnacentral:rRNA from 1 species
GAUGAACGCCUGGGCGGCGUGCUUAACACAUGCAAGUCGAACGGAUUUACAGUGAAGCCUAAGGCGAUUGUAAAGUUAGUGGCGGACGGGUGAGUAACGCGUGAAUAACCUGCCUUAUACUGGGGGACAACAGUUGGAAACGACUGCUAAUACCGCAUAAGACCACAGCACCGCAUGGUGCAGGGGUAAAAACUCCGGUGGUAUGAGAUGGAUCCGCGUCUGAUUAGCUAGUUGGUAAGGUAACGGCUUACCAAGGCAACGAUCAGUAGCCGACCUGAGAGGGUGACCGGCCACAUUGGGACUGAGACACGGCCCAA